UUAAAAUGUAAAUUUUUUAAAAACUUAGGUAGUAAUAGUUAUGUUCUUGAAACUUAAAAAAUUUGGCGGUAUUUUAGUCUAUUCAGAGGAACCUGUUUUAUAAUCGAUAAUCCACGAUGGACCUUACUUAGAUUUGUAACCAGUUUAUAUAUCGUCGUUAUUAGAAUAUUUUAUUAGAAAGUUAAUUUUCAAAAUUUUAUAAAAGAAAAUAUAUCAGAUCAAGGUGUAGCUUAUGUUUAAGUAAAAAUGGGUUACAAUAAAAAUAUUUAUAUGAAUAUAAAUUUGAAAUAUUUAUUGAAGGUGGAUUUGAUAGUAAAAUUAUAAAGAUUAAUAAUUUGAUUUUAGCUCUAAAAUAUGU
rnacentral:rRNA from 1 species